AAAAGAAGUAAAGGGCUGGAUGCUGUUUUUAAUCCUCUAAAUCUCUCCUACAGAACAGCUGCUUCCGGUGGCGUCUUUGGAGUCUAAUGUUGUCACAUACUGUGCAGCAGUAGAUGGUGGUUAAGUCGUAAGGCGUGUGCUUUAACAUCCAAUCACUGCAGGUUUGAGACCCAACAUGGCAUCCAAGUGUGGAGGCUGUUAUCUUUGAGCACUCGAGUAUCUUGGAUGCUGCUGAAGCUGCUGCUGCACAGGAGGCCGUGGACGUAGACUCUAAAGGUGAACCGAGGACUUCCACUUCAGCUGGUCCAAGAAGGCAAAGUAUCAAAGAAGGCGAGAUGGACCGAAUGUUACUGCUAAUGCAGGAACGAGUGGAGGAGAGUCGGGCCCGCAUGGAAGAACUGCAAAUGUGUAAAGAGCAGCACCCCAGCACAGCUAGGAACGCCUUCGCAGCCUAUGUCCGGGACUCCUUAAACACCAUGUCGGAAUGGAGCUACAGAAAAGCAAAGGAUGAAAUCUGCCGCGUGUUGACAAAAUAUGAAAAAGGGGCUGAAGAGGAUCGGGUCAAGCAACAACAGAAGUUCCAUCAGCAUCCACCUCACCACCACACAAAGCCACGACACACUGUCCUGCCUAUCCGAGGACUGCAGCCGCUCCUGUCCUGUCUUUCUACAAACACAUCUGAAGUCCAGCAGCUGGGGGACACGUUGAAACUACAGCUAAC